rnacentral:rRNA from 1 species
CCUACGGGAGGCAGCAGUGAGGAAUAUUGGUCAAUGGACGAGAGUCUGAACCAGCCAAGUAGCGUGAAGGAUGACUGCCCUCUGGGUUGUAAACUUCUUUUAUAUGGGAAUAAAACAGGGUAUGCAUACCCUCUUGUAUGUACCAUAUGACUAAGGAUCGGCUAACUUCGUGCGAGCAGCCGCGGUAAUACGGAGGAUCCGAGCGUUAUCCGGAUUUAUUGGGUUUAAAGGGAGCGUAGGUGGAUUGUUAAGUCAGUUGUGAAAGUCUGCGGCUCAACCGUAGAAUUGCAGUUGAAACUGGCAGUCUUGAGUACAGUAGAGGUAGGCGGAAUUCGUGGUGUAGCGGUGAAAUGCGUAGAUAUCACGAAGAACUCCGAUUGCGAAGGCAGCUCACUGGACUGCAACUGACACUGAUGCUCGUAAGUGUGGGUAGCAAACAGGAUUAGAUACCCGAGUAGUC